rnacentral:rRNA from 1 species
AGUGAACGCUGGCGGUAGGCCUAACACAUGCAAGUCGAACGGCAGCACAGUAAGAGCUUGCUCUUACGGGUGGCGAGUGGCGGACGGGUGAGGAAUACAUCGGAAUCUACUUUUUCGUGGGGGAUAACGUAGGGAAACUUACGCUAAUACCGCAUACGACCUACGGGUGAAAGCAGGGGAUCUUCGGACCUUGCGCGAUUGAAUGAGCCGAUGUCGGAUUAGCUAGUUGGCGGGGUAAAGGCCCACCAAGGCGACGAUCCGUAGCUGGUCUGAGAGGAUGAUCAGCCACACUGGAACUGAGACACGGUCCAGACUCCUACGGGAGGCAGCUGUGGGGAAUAUUGGACAAUGGGCGCAAGCCUGAUCCAGCCAUACCGCGUGGGUGAAGAAGGCCUUCGGGUUGUAAAGCCCUUUUGUUGGGAAAGAAAAGCAGCAGGUUAAUACCCCACUGUUCUGACGGUACCCAAAGAAUAAGCACCGGCUAACUUCGUG